rnacentral:rRNA from 1 species
UACAGAGGUCUCAAGCGUUGUUCGGAUUCAUUGGGCGUAAAGGGUGCGUAGGUGGCGCUGUAAGUCGGGUGUGAAAUUUCGGAGCUUAACUCCGAAACUGCAUUCGAUACUGCGGUGCUUGAGGACUGGAGAGGAGACUGGAAUUCAUGGUGUAGCAGUGAAAUGCGUAGAGAUCAUGAGGAAGACCAGUGGCGAAGGCGGGUCUCUGGACAGUUCCUGACACUGAGGCACGAAGGCCAGGGGUGCAAACGGG